UACGUAGGGGGCAAGCGUUGUCCGGAUUUAUUGGGCGUAAAGAGCGUGUAGGCGGCCAGGUAGGUCCGUUGUGAAAACUCGAGGCUCAACCUCGAGACGUCGAUGGAAACCAUCUGGCUAGAGUCCGGAAGAGGAGAGUGGAAUUCCUGGUGUAGCGGUGAAGUGCGCAGAUAUCAGGAAGAACACCCGUGGCGAAGGCGGCUCUCUGGGACGGUACUGACGCUGAGACGCGAAAGCGUGGGGAGCGAACAGG
rnacentral:rRNA from 1 species